rnacentral:rRNA from 1 species
UACGGAGGGUGCAAGCGUUAUCCGGAUUUACUGGGUUUAAAGGGUGCGUAGGUGGGCCUGCAAGUCAGUGGUGAAAUCUUCAAGCUUAACUUGGAAACUGCCAUUGAUACUAUAGGUCUUGAAUUAUCUGGAGGUAAGCGGAAUAUGUCAUGUAGCGGUGAAAUGCUUAGAGAUGACAUAGAACACCCAUUGCGAAGGCAGCUUACUACGGAUUGAUUGACACUGAGGCACGAAAGCGUGGGGAUCAAACAGG